rnacentral:ribozyme from 1 species
UUUAUUUGUUUACUGAAUUUUUUUUUUUUUUUUUUUUUUUC